GCAAGUCGAACGAGAAAGUUACUUCGGUAAUUAGUAAAGUGGCGCACGGGUGAGUAACGCGUAGAGAUCUACCAAGCAGUGGGGAACAACUAUUGGAAACGAUAGCUAAAACCGCAUACGCCCUACGGGGGAAAUAUUUAUAGCUGUUUGAUGAGUCUGCGUUAGAUUAGCUAGUUGGUAGGGUAAUGGCCUACCAAGGCAACGAUCUAUAGCUGGUUUGAGAGGAUGAUC
rnacentral:rRNA from 1 species